UACGGGGGGAGCAAGCGUUGUUCGGAUUUACUGGGCGUAAAGGGCGCGUAGGCGGUCAGCACAAGUCAGUUGUGAAAUCUCCGGGCUUAACUCGGAAAGGUCAACUGAUACUGUGCGACUAGAGUGCAGAAGGGGCAACUGGAAUUCUCGGUGUAGCGGUGAAAUGCGUAGAUAUCGAGAGGAACACCUGCGGCGAAGGCGGAUCUCUGGACAGUUACUGACACUGAGGCACGAAGGCCAGGGGAGCAAACGGG
rnacentral:rRNA from 1 species